rnacentral:rRNA from 1 species
UACGUAGGGGGCUAGCGUUGUCCGGAAUCAUUGGGCGUAAAGAGCGUGUAGGCGGCCCGAUAAGUCCGCCGUGAAAGCCCAGGGCUCAACCCUGGGAUGCCGGUGGAUACUGUCGGGCUAGAAUCCGGAAGAGGCGAGUGGAAUUCCUGGUGUAGCGGUGAAAUGCGCAGAUAUCAGGAGGAACACCAAUAGCGAAGGCAGCUCGCUGGGACGUUACUGACACUGAGGCGCGAAAGCGUGGGGAGCGAACAGG